rnacentral:rRNA from 1 species
AUUGAACGCUGGCGGAAUGCUUUACACAUGCAAGUCGAGCGGCAGCGCGGGGGCAACCCUGGCGGCGAGCGGCGAACGGGUGAGUAACAUAUCGGAACGUACCCAGUCGUGGGGGAUAACUAUCCGAAAGGAUAGCUAAUACCGCAUACGUCCUGAGGGAGAAAGCGGGGGAUCGCAAGACCUCGCGCGAUUGGAGCGGCCGAUAUCGGAUUAGCUAGUUGGUGGGGUAAAGGCUCACCAAGGCGACGAUCCGUAGCGGGUCUGAGAGGACGACCCGCCACACUGGAACUGAGACACGGUCCAGACUCCUACGGGAGGCAGCAGUGGGGAAUUUUGGACAAUGGGGGCAACCCUGAUCCAGCAAUGCCGCGUGUGUGAAGAAGGCCUGCGGGUUGUAAAGCACUUUUGUUCGGGAAGAAAUCAUGUCGGUUAAUACCCGAUGUGGAUGACGGUACCGAAAGAAUAAGCACCGGCUAACUUCGUG